rnacentral:tmRNA from 1 species
GGGGGCGACCUGGCUUCGACGCGGGUAGCAAAACCAAAAGUGCAUGUCGAGGACUGUGACCUCGUAAAUCCUACAGAAAAAAAGUAUUCGCAAACGACGAAAACUACUCAAUGGCUUUGGCUGCCUAAAAACAGCCUCCAUUCCUCUGACUAUUUGUGCUUGUGCGGGUAGAGUUGGGUUCGCCUGACGCUCAGGGGUCAUCUACACAAGAUCGCGCUGAAGUAAGUCCGGGAUGGAUGCGCUAAAACCUACGGAAUCGCUGGCGGUUUUCUUGGCCUGACGGGUAGCCGACAGUUAAAUCAAAAGUGCAGGAUAAACAUGUAGAUCUUGAGGCGGAGUACUUGCGGACGGGGGUUCAAUUCCCCCCGCCUCCACCA